rnacentral:rRNA from 1 species
UAUGCCGCAAGGUGAAAUACGAAAGUGCCUAAAGACGAGCUCGCGCCUGAUUAGCUAGUUGGUGGGGUAAAGGCCUACCAAGGCGACGAUCAGUAGCUGGUUUGAGAGAAUGAUCAGCCACACUGGAACUGAGACACGGUCCAGACUCCUGCGGGAGGCAGCAGUGGGGAAUUUUCCGCAAUGGGCGAAAGCCUGACGGAGCAAUACCGCGUGAGGGAUUAAGGCCUGUGGGUUGUAAACCUCUUUUCUCAAGGAAGAAUCAAUGACGGUACUUGAGGAAUAAGCAUCGGCUAACUCCGUGCCAGCAGCCGCGGUAAUACGGGGGAUGCAAGCGUUAUCCGGAAUUAUUGGGCGUAAAGCGUCUGUAGGUUGUUUAAUAAGUCUGUUGUUAAAGACUGGGGCUUAACCCCAGGAAAGCAAUGGAAACUGUUAGGCUAGAGUAUGGUAGAGGUAGAGGGAAUUCCUAGUGUAGCGGUGAAAUGCGUAGAUAUUAGGAAGAACACCGGUGGCGAAAGCGCUCUGCUGGGCCAUUACUGACACUCAGAGACGAAAGCUAGGGUAGCAAAUGGGAUUAGAUACCCCAGUAGUCCUAGCCGUAAACGAUGGAUACUAGAUGUUGCGUAACUCGAUUAUGCAGUGUUGUAGCUAACGCGUUAAGUAUCCCGCCUGGGGAGUACACUCGCAAGGGUGAAACUCAAAGGAAUUGACGGGGGCCCGCACAAGCGGUGGAGCAUGUGGUUUAAUUUGAUGCAACGCGAAGAACCUUACCAAGGCUUGACAUGUCACG